rnacentral:rRNA from 1 species
GGAGCUUGCUCCCGGAUGUUAGCGGCGGACGGGUGAGUAACACGUGGGUAACCUGCCUGUAAGACUGGGAUAACUCCGGGAAACCGGAGCUAAUACCGGAUAGUUCCUUGAACCGCAUGGUUCAAGGAUGAAAGACGGUUUCGGCUGUCACUUACAGAUGGACCCGCGGCGCAUUAGCUAGUUGGUGGGGUAAUGGCUCACCAAGGCGACGAUGCGUACCCCACCUGAGAGGGUGAUCGGCCACACUGGGACUGAGACACGGCCCAGACUCCUACGGGAGGCAGCAGUAGGGAAUCUUCCGCAAUGGACGAAAGUCUGACGGAGCAACGCCGCGUGAGUGAUGAAGGUUUUCGGAUCGUAAAGCUCUGUUGUUAGGGAAGAACAAGUGCGAGAGUAACUGCUCGCACCUUGACGGUACCUAACCAGAAAGCCACGGCUAACUACGUGCCAGCAGCCGCGGUAAUACGUAGGUGGCAAGCGUUGUCCGGAAUUAUUGGGCGUAAAGGGCUCGCAGGCGGUUUCUUAAGUCUGAUGUGAAAGCCCCCGGCUCAACCGGGGAGGGUCAUUGGAAACUGGGAAACUUGAGUGCAGAAGAGGAGAGUGGAAUUCCACGUGUAGCGGUGAAAUGCGUAGAGAUGUGGAGGAACACCAGUGGCGAAGGCGACUCUCUGGUCUGUAACUGACGCUGAGGAGCGAAAGCGUGGGGAGCGAACAGGAUUAGAUACCCUGGUAGUCCACGCCGUAAACGAUGAGUGCUAAGUGUUAGGGGGGUUUCCGCCCCUUAGUG